rnacentral:snRNA from 1 species
UGAACAACAAGAUACUAAAACUGGAACAAUAUAGAGAUUAGCAUGGGCUCUGCACAAGGAUGACAUGCAAAUUUGUGAAGCAUUUUAUAUGUUU